AUUUAUAUAGUUUAAAAAAACAUUACAUUUUCACUGUAAAAACAAAGAAAAAUAAACUCAAACUCUUUUAUAAAUU
rnacentral:tRNA from 1 species